rnacentral:rRNA from 1 species
UACGACUACAUAUCAGGCAUAUCAAUAAGCGAGGAAAAGAAACUAACAAGGAUUCCCCUAGUAACGGCGAGUGAAGCGGGAAGAGCUCAAAUUUGAAAUCUUAAAGGGUUUCCCUUUACGAAUUGUAGUUUAAAGAAGUGUUUUCUGUUGGAGUUUCGGUAAAAGUUCUUUGGAAUAGGACAUCAUAGAGGGUGAGAAUCCCGUAUUUGACCAGUUACUUCCAGCUGUGUGAUACACUUUCAAAGAGUCGGAUUGUUUGGGAAUGCAGUCCAAGAUGGGUGGUAAAUUUCAUCUAAAGCUAAAUAUUGGCGAGAGACCGAUAGCGAACAAGUACCGUGAGGGAAAGAUGAAAAGAACUUUGAAAAGAGAGUUAAACAGUACGUGAAAUUGUCAAAAGGGAAGCGUUUGACACCAGUGUUGUUUAGUUGAAAAUCAAUUCAAUAGUUUUUGAUUCUAAGUAGUAUUGACUUCAUCAGCUUGCUGCUUUCUUCUCAGAAAUUAUUGAAUGCACUUUUCAGUUAACAAGUCAACAUCAAUUUCUUUUGUUGUAAAAGGGUAAGAGGAAGGUGGCUUGCGCUUCGGCUCAAGUGUUUAUAGCCUUUUAUCUCUGCAAUCGGAGAGAUUGAGGUCUGCAGCGUAGAUCCUUCGGGGUUAGAUACAUUGGUGCUAAGCUAUAGCCUUGUAUAGACAACUUGUUGACUAUGCUCAGUCAUGUAGCUUACUCGCUGAUGCUAUUUUACCUACGCUUAGGAUGUUGAGUAGCGACAUACGCAC